UUACUACAAAGCCGUGUUUGUAUCACACAGUAGUAAGGGUGAAAAUGUUUUCAUAACUGUAGGAAAUCAAUCAAUGCCAGAAGAGAGCGAAGAAAGAGAAAAUUAAGGAAGUUCCGAAGGCAGCGGUGGAAACAGGGAAAGAACCCAGCUCCUGUGUCCGGUGAGGGAGCAGGCGGCGGCUCACCUAAUUCCUGACCGGAGACGGCAACAGCGACGAAGACGGCGAGGACGAAGACCUUGAUGAUGAUGUAGGUGCUAAUUUGAGCCAUUAUAUUUUGGUUAGCAGCAGAGAGCUGGUGAAUGAAUUUGAAUACUAGUAAUAAUAAUGGUUUCGGGUUUUGAGUGAGAAAAGAAGGGAAAGGGAUUUGGAUCGGAAUGGAAUAUGGGUUAAAAAAUGGUUAACCGGUUCAGAAUUAUAUUUGUUUUAAAAAAUUUGAGUCCAAACUUUAACC
rnacentral:lncRNA from 1 species